rnacentral:rRNA from 1 species
UACAGAGGGCUCAAGCGUUGUUCGGAUUCAUUGGGCGUAAAGGGCGCGUAGGCGGCGAGGCAAGUCAGAUGUGAAAUCCCGGGGCUCAACCCCGGAACUGCAUUUGAAACUGCCUUGCUCGAGUACUGGAGAGGAGAGUGGAAUUUACGGUGUAGCGGUGAAAUGCGUAGAUAUCGGGAGGAAGACCAGUGGCGAAGGCGGGUCUCUGGACAGUUACUGACGCUGAGGCACGAAAGCGAGGGGAGCAAACAGG